rnacentral:rRNA from 1 species
UACGUAGGGGGCAAGCGUUGUCCGGAUUUAUUGGGCGUAAAGAGCGUGUAGGCGGCUUUACAGGUCCGUUGUGAAAACUCGAGGCUCAACCUCGAGACGCCGGUGGAAACCGUAAAGCUAGAGUCCGGAAGAGGAGAGUGGAAUUCCUGGUGUAGCGGUGAAAUGCGCAGAUAUCAGGAGGAACACCGGUGGCGAAGGCGGGUCUCUGGCAGUAACUGACGCUGGAGGAGCGAAGCGUGGGAGCAAACAGGA